GUUGCUUCAGAAAAUGUUUAGCUGUUGUUUUAAUAUUGUGUAAAAGGAAACAAACAUAUAAAAAGAAUAUUUAUACAUAAACUUGAUUGGUUCAUGUUUUAGCCACUGUUUGGUAGUGUGUUUAAUUUGUUCACUGAACACUGCCUUGAA